rnacentral:tRNA from 1 species
GCCCGGGUGGCUUAGCUGGACAUAGCGCCGCACUCAUAGGGUCUUUCCAAUGUGUGCGCCAUCGGCAUGGCCACGGGGUUCGUCACCCCGGACCUGGGUCAUGCGGAGAUCGAGGGUUCGGAGCCCUCCCCGGGCA